AUCUGUCUUGACAGAGGGGCAUAGCUUGCCGAAAGGUGAGGUAAUUCCCCAUAAUAUUAGCAAUAAUCAAAGUAGCAAUACGCUUCGAGAGGAACCUUUUUCCUAUCAGCUUGUUGGUGAGGUAAUGGCCCACCAAGGCGACGACGGGUAGCUGGAUUGAGAGAUUGACCAGCCACACUGGGACUGAGACACGGCCCAGACUCCUACGGGAGGCAGCAGUGAGGAAUUUUCCACAAUGGGCGAAAGCCUGAUGGAGCAAUACCGCGUGAGGGAUGACGGCCUUAGGGUUGUAAACCUCUUUUAAAUAGGAAGAUUAUGGCGGUACUAUUUGAAUAAGCAUCGGCUAACUACGUGCCAGCAGCCGCGGUAAUACGUAGGAUGCAAGCGUUAUCCGGAAUUACUGGGCGUAAAGCGUGUGUAGGUGGCGCGUUAAGU
rnacentral:rRNA from 1 species